AAAACAAUACUUGUCAAAAAAACCAAGUCUCGCAACUCAGUUGUUCUACGGUAAAAAGUUGUGAGAUCCAUGUAAUACCAAGUCCAGGCCAGGAAAUCUUUAAUGUUUUACAUAAAUUAUUGACUUGGCCAUCGCACUAAAUAAUUUAAUUUACACGUGUUUUCAUGCGAUGGCCAAGUCAAUAUAUUUAUGUAAAACGUUAAAGAUUUCCUGGCCUGGACUUGGUAUUACAUGGAUCUCACAACUUUUUACCGUAGAACAACUGAGUUGCGAGACUUGGUUUUUUUGACAAGUAUUGUUUUUGAUGGGAUCUCAUUUCUUUUUGUAUUUUGUAGACAGCAGUUAUGGAGAGGGGGGCAGCUUUGGACAGGGGCAGCUUAGAACAAAUGAAUUUAAAAAUCACUGGUUUAGGCUACAAUGGUAUAAAUAAUAAUUUAUAUUGCCAGCACUGAUGCGCAUAGCCGUCACAUCUCAUUUUUAAUAUCUAACUGUAGGUUAACCGGCAAAAGAGGUUUUUUGUUUUUGACUGCCAAUUUCGCACUUUUUUAUUUUGGUUCUAAGGAUUUUGUGGACGUAGUUUUAUAAAAUAGUGAGUGGUUUGUUUACUAUAUGGAAGUUUAAAUAGUUUCAAUGAAGAUUUGAUAAGAAAUUGCGAUAUAAAAGUAUGUUCCGUUAUUAAA